CCAAGGGUAUGGCUGUUCGCCAUUUAAAGUGGUACGCGAGCUGGGUUUAGAACGUCGUGAGACAGUUCGGUCCCUAUCUGCCGUGGGCGUUGGAAGAUUGAAGGGGGCUGCUCCUAGUACGAGAGGACCGGAGUGGACGAACCUCUGGUGUUCGGGUUGUGUCGCCAGACGCAUUGCCCGGUAGCUAAGUUCGGAAUCGAUAACCGCUGAAAGCAUCUAAGCGGGAAGCGAGCCCUGAGAUGAGUCUUCCCUGAUACUUUAAGUAUCCUAAAGGGUUGUCGGAGACUACGACGUUGAUAGGUCAGGUGUGUAAGUGCUGUGAGGCAUUGAGCUAACUGAUACUAAUUGCCCGUGAGGCUUAACCAUACAACAC
rnacentral:rRNA from 1 species